UCAUCCCCAGAUAUUCAAUCCCUAAGAGAAUAUGCCACCUCCAGACUAAAAUCUCCCCAGGGCAAAAUGAGAAACCGCCAUCGCAUCCAGCGUAGGGGCCCCUGCAUCAUCUACAAUGAGGACAACGACAUCAUUAAGGCCUUCAGGAACAUCCCUGGCAUUACUUUGCUUAAUGUAAGCAAGCUGAACAUCUUGAAGCUUGCUCCUGGUGGGCAUGUGGGUCGUUUCUGCAUCUGGACUGAAAGUGCUUUCUGGAAGUUGAAUGAACUGUACGGCACAUGGCGGACAGCUGCUUCCCUCAAGAGCAACUACAACUUUCCCAUGCACAAGAUGAUGAAUACAGACCUUAAUAGAAUCUUGAAAAGCCCAGAGAUCCAAAGAGCCCUUCGAGCUCCACACAAGAAGAUUCAUCGCAGAGUCUUGAAGAAGAACCCACUGAAAAAUCUGAGAGUCAUGUUGAAGCUAAACCCAUAUGUAAAGACCAGGCACCGGAACACCAUUCUUCACCAUGCCAGGAACCACAAGCUCCGGGUGGAUAAGGCAGCCGCCAAAGCAGACAAGAAGGGGGUUUCAGGCAAGACACCUGUGGCAGGGAAGACAGGAGAAAAGAAAGCUGUAGUUGGGAAGAAGCAGAAGCCUCUGGUAGGAAAAAAGGCAGCAGCUGCCAAGAAACCAGCUGAAAAGAAGCCAGCAGAAAAGAAACCUACAGAAGAAAAGAAGUCAGCCGCAUAA